AUGGGCAAGUCUCUUCAUGCCAGCUGCCAUCACUGUGAAAUGGUAGAGAGAGAGGCUUAGAAAAUCAAACGACUCUGACCAUCGUGAUUCUGCAGGUCAGAUAACUGCUUUAAGCCUCAGUUUCUUCAUCUGAAAAAUGAGAAUCACGUUUACCUACUCUACCCGCCAGGACUCUGGUGAGAAUCCAGUUAGAUGAACUGUUAUGAUGCCUAAGAACAACGAAUAUUUGGACAAUAUUUGGGCCACACAAUCUCACUUGCCAUUCCAGCAACCCUAUGAGGUGACUUAGGAGGCUUCCAGUUUUGACUACAACCCUGAGAAAAGAGGACUCUGCAGCUGAUCCAGGCUGUGAUGCCAGCUGUUCUGCUGCUUCAGCCAUUUGACCAGCAGUUACCAUGGUGCCCAAAAUGUCUAUGGUGCGUGAGGACACUGUGCAGAGUGCCUGAGAGCAUCCACUUCAGAAGAGACCACCACCACCACUCCGCCCACUUCCCUCCACCACACUAGCCUCUCUCCUUGGCCAUCCUAGAACUUGCCAGGUGAGCCCAAAGAUAAUGGCCAUGUUGGCAUGGAUGAAAGUUCUUCAUGGACUCGACUGCAAUGAAUCCUUCUCAACAAGGAUGAUUUAAUGCUUGGCCUUUUAGCAUCAGAGAAUGAUGCAGAGCCCUUGAUACGGCAUCAUUCUCCAGAGAGACCUGCCAGCUACUUGAUGGCUGGUUGACCACAUUGGAUAUCUUAUACUGUGGCGGAGGCAGUGAUUUCUUUUUGCUAGAAUCGAUAAUUUGAUAGAUUUGCAUUCUCUGAUUGCAUAACCUUCACCAGUACUAUUAUCUGAUAUCUUACAGCAUGCCUGGUUUAUUGUCAUGGCAUCUCCUACAUGCUGCCUCUGGUCAAGGGGCCCGUUUUAUAGCAAAGGAAUUAGGCAAUGAACUCAUCACCACAUGAUUCAUUGGUAAAUAUAACCCAUCACCUAGGAGUAGUCAGCCUGAUAUUAACAGUGGAACAACUAAGUAAAAGUUCAGCUAAGGCACCAGCCUAGGGACAGUACCUUAUAGGGUUAUAGUGCUGUCCUUUACAUGUGGUGUAUGUGCUGAACCAGUGGCUGAUAUAUGUUGCUGUGUCCUUAAUAGGUAAAAUAUGUAGGUCCAUGAACAAAGGGGUAGAAGUAGGAUUGGCUCUUUCAUGAUCAAUCCUGGUGACCUGAUUAUGAAAUCUGUAUUUACCAUUCCUGCAAAUAUAGUGGGAGAAACACUUCCUCCAGGGGACACAGUAAAAUUUUCAUUGUAUUUGGGGCUGUGAUUCCCACUUAGCAGUUUUAGCUCCUCAUGCCAGUGGACCAGCAGAAAAGAAAAAAGUUACAAAUAGGCAAUAGUAAUUGACCUGAUUAGCAUUAGGACAUGGGGUUGCUACUACACAAUACGGGUAGAGAACAAUAUAUCUGGAACCCAGGAGAUUCAUGGGACAUCUCUUGUUGAUUCAAUAUCCAGUGCUAACCAUUAAUGGUCAGUUGCCAACCAUGACCUGAAAAAGGCACAGCAACUAAGGAUUAAGACCCUCUAAGGAUGAAGCUCUGGGUCACCCCUCUAAGCAAGCAACCUAGACCAGCUGCAGUGCUAGUUGAAAGUGAAAGAAAUCCAACAUGGCUAAUGGAGGAGAAUGAUGAUGAAUAUCAAUUAGCCUCAGGAUCAGCUGCAGCUUUAGCUGUGGGGACUGGAUCUUGGUUUGCUAACCCUAUUUAAGUCAUUGCAGGAUAUCACACCUAGCCAUUAUCUUUUGAAAAAAAAUUAAAGUAUAAUUCAUUUACAAUGCUAUUUUAGUUUCAGGUGUACCGCAUAGUAUCCAAUAUUUUUAUCCAUUAUGAAAUGAUCACCACAAUAAGUCUAAUCUUAUUGUCUGUCACUAUACAGUUAUUACAAUAUUAUUGACUAUAUUCCCUCUACUGUACAUUACAUCCCCAUGACUUAUUUUAUAACUGGAAGUUUGUACCUCUUAAUCCCCUUCCCCUAUUCCACUCAUCCCCCCCACUUCCUCCCCUCUGGCAACCACCAGAUUGUUCUCUGUACCUAUGAGUCUUUUUCUGUUUUGUUGUGCUUGUUCCUUUGCUUUUUAAAGAUUCUACAUAUAAGUGAACUCAUACAGUAUUUGUCUUUCUCUGUCUGACUUAUUUCACUUAGCAUAACACUGUCUAGGUCCAUCCAUGUUGUCACAAAUGGCAAGAUUUCAUUUUAUUUUAUGGCUGAGUAAUAUUCCAUUGUACGUAUAUAUCACACCUCCUUUAUCCAUUCAUCUAUCGAUGAACACUUACAUAGUCAUCAUCUUGAAGGAUUGGACUUGCACUUCUUUUAGGUAAGAAGUGAGGGCUUCUUGUUUUCAUAUGAGAUCCAGAUAUACUAAGAGGGUGUGAACAGAUAUGAGAGAUGCAAGUGGUGCCCUGCACCAAACCCAGUUUAUGUGCCCCAUGAGAUAUGCUCAUGUGCUCUGCCCCAGGCCCUAGACUCUUGUCAAUGGAGAGUCCUGUCCCCUACUGCCGCUUCUCAUCUCCUAACGCUGCCAACUCUCUCAGCCUCUUUUAGGAUGGGAUCUGCUUUAACACAGCUUCCAAUGUGCUUUCCACGUGGGGACCACAGUAGCUCUGGUGCUCAGGUCCAACCAUAAUGCACCCAAGAAGGCUCUGGGUCCUCCUAAGGCUUCCAAAUGUGGAUGAAGCACCAUAUUGCAGGAUGUAAUAGCUGGCUUUCCCAGAAGCUUUUUGGAAAGACUGGAUUACAAAGCCCCAAAAGUAGGGAAGUUAAUGUUCCAUGGGACAAACCUUGAAGAAUGAGAGACAGCAGAUCAAUUCCUCCUCCUUCCUUCCCAUGACAUACUGUUUCAGGGUGUGGCAUUCUUGAUAACCUGUUGGUAAGGUAUUCUGCAUGACCAAGUGGUUGCCUAUUCUUUCUGGGGAAACUGUGGCUGGUUUUGUAAUACACCACCUUGUAUUUGCUUUCUUUUCUCCCCUGCUUUAUUUCGCUUUCCCCCCUCACUCUUGCUGCCUGGGAUUGUACUUCCAAGGAAAGAUUUAUCAGGUAAACUUUGCCUCAGGCUCUGAUUUGCAGGGGACCCAGGCUAAGACAAGUAGAGGUUCAGAGUGGAGUGACCGGAUGAGAGGUUUUUGUUUUUUAAAAAAAGGCUGUUGUAGAAAGCAACAGAAAUGGUUUGAGUAACUAAGAUAAAAGGGAGGGAAUAUUUUAAAGGAAUGUAAUUCAAAGGAACAAAGCAAAGACUGAACAAGCCCAUAGAGCAGAUGGGAACCAAGGAAGAUCUGCUGAUGUUUAUAACAGAAUUAAUGGAUGGUAUUUGUGAUAGUUUUAAAAGAUAAGCACAAAUUUUUGGAUACUCCUUCCUUCAAGAGGUGGAGCCUAAUCCCCUCUUGUUGAAUGUGGGCUGUACUUAGUGACUCACUUCUAAUGAAUAAAAUAUGGCAGAAAUGAUGGUCUGUGGCUUCUGAAUCUAGGCCAUAGAAAACACUGUGACUUUCACCUUCCUCCCUCUUCGAUCAUUUGAUCUGGAGGAAGCCUGCAGCUGCCGUGUCUUGAUGACUAUCAAGCAGCCCCAUAGAGAGGCCUGGGUGGUAGGGACCUGAGUCCUCCUGCCAACAGCCAUGUGAGUGCACCAUCUUGGAAGCAAUCUCCCGGUCCCGGCCAAGCUUUCAUAUGACUGCAGCUUUGGCUGACAUCUUGACGGCAACCCUGAGAGGGCCUGAGCCAGACCACCAGCUAAGAACCUCUAGAGUUCAUGACCUGUAGAAACCGUGGGGUAAAUGUUUAUCAUUUUUAGCAAAUGAGUUUUGGUGUAAUUUGUUUUGCAGCAGUAGAUAACAAAGAUGGUAUCUUUAAGGUAUCUCCAAUGAUUAUUGAUCUUGGUGUCAGUAUUAUUAGCCCCAUCUGCAAAAUAGGCACAGUAAUGGUACCUCACUCAUAGAGCUGUUUACGAGGCUACAAGAUGCUCCCCACAGUGCCUAGCACAGAGCGAGACUUCAAUAGAUGUUACUAGUGCUAGCAGUAGUCAUCGUCAUCAUCUCAGGAUUCAAAUUCCCAGGAAAGAGAAUCUGAUUGACUUAGCUUGGGUUGUGUGCCUUCCUCGUGGGCAAGGGAGCACAGGGCACUCUAACUGAGAGUCCUACCAGGUCUGUAUUUCCUCAAAGGAAAUUAAGAUGCUGUUUGCCAGGCAAGAAAAAGCAACGCUAACUACAAAGGGUGUGUAUACUUUCAGGUUCCUUUUACAUAAAGCCAAACUGCUUUCCAAAAAACGUUGUGUCAAUAUAUAUGCUCCUGCCAACAGCACGAGCGCAUCCUCUCACUCCACCUUUGCCAACAUUGCUGUUAUCCUGAAGAAAAGAAGAGCCAGUUUAGUGGACGAAAAAUAAUGAUAUCUUAUUGCUUAUGUCUACACUUCUUUACUAGUGAAGCUGAAUAUGUUUCCAUGUUUUAUUGGCCGUUUGUAUGUCUUGUUUGGUGAGUUAAGGAACAUUCAUCUAAAAAGUGGGAUAUUGGGACUUCCCUGAUGGCACAGUGGUUAAGAAUCCGCCUGCCAAUGCAGGGGACAUGGGUUUGAGCCCUGGUCCGGGAAGAUCCCACAUACUGCAGAGCACCUAAGCCCGUGCGCCACAACUACUGAGCCUGCGCACCACAACUACUGAAGCCCGCAUACCUAGAGCCCAUGUUCCGCAACGAAAAGUAGCCCCCGCUCACCACAACUAGAGAAAGCCCACGCGCAGCAACGAAGACCCAACGCAGCCAUAAAUAAAUAAACAAAUAAAUUUAUUUUAAAAAAAGGUGGGAUAUACAGUUAUUUCUAUUGACUUAUGUGAUUUAUUUAUGUGCUAAUGGCAUCAAUUUUCUGACAUAUAUUACAAGUA